UACGUAGGGCGCAAGCGUUGUCCGGAAUUAUUGGGCGUAAAGAGCUCGUAGGCGGUUUGUCGCGUCUGCUGUGAAAACCUAAGGCUCAACCUUGGGCUUGCAGUGGGUACGGGCAGACUAGAGUGCGGUAGGGGGUGACUGGAAUUCCUGGUGUAGCGGUGGAAUGCGCAGAUAUCAGGAGGAACACCGAUGGCGAAGGCAGGUCACUGGGCCGCAACUGACGCUGGAGGAAGCGAAAGCAUGGGGAGCGAACAGG
rnacentral:rRNA from 1 species